rnacentral:tRNA from 1 species
AGGGUUGUGGCUUAGUGGUAGAGUGCUUGCCUCAAAUGUAUGAAGCACUGGGUUUGAUCCUCAGCACCACAU